AGAGUUUGAUCCUGGCUCAGGAUGAACGCUGGCGGCGUGCUUAACACAUGCAAGUCGAACGGGAAUUACUUUAUUGAAACUUCGGUCGAUAUGAUUUAAUUCUAGUGGCGGACGGGUGAGUAACGCGUGGGUAACCUGCCUUAUACAGGGGGAUAACAGUCAGAAAUGGCUGCUAAUACCGCAUAAGCGCACAGAGCUGCAUGGCUCGGUGUGAAAAACUCCGGUGGUAUGGGAUGGGCCCGCGUCUGAUUAGGCAGUUGGCGGGGUAACGGCCCACCAAACCGACGAUCAGUAGCCGGCCUGAGAGGGCGACCGGCCACAUUGGGACUGAGACACGGCCCAAACUCCUACGGGAGGCAGCAGUGGGGAAUAUUGCACAAUGGGGGAAACCCUGAUGCAGCGACGCCGCGUGAGUGAAGAAGUAUUUCGGUAUGUAAAGCUCUAUCAGCAGGGAAGAUAAUGACGGUACCUGAC
rnacentral:rRNA from 1 species